CCUACGGGGGGCAGCAGUGGGGAAUAUUGCGCAAUGGAGGAAACUCUGACGCAGCAACGCCGCGUGAAGGAUGAAGGCUUUCGGGUUGUAAACUUCUUUGAUCGGGGACGAAAAUGACGGUACCCGAGGAACAAGCCACGGCUAACUACGUGCCAGCAGCCGCGGUAAUACGUAGGUGGCAAGCGUUGUCCGGAAUUACUGGGCGUAAAGGGCGUGUAGGCGGGGAAACAAGUCAGAUGUGAAAUCCCAUGGCUUAACUGUGGAGCUGCAUCUGAAACUGUUUCUCUUGAGUACUGGAGAGGAAAGUGGAAUUCCCAGUGUAGCGGUGAAAUGCGUAGAGAUUGGGAGGAACACCAGUGGCGAAGGCGGCUUUCUGGACAGUAACUGACGCUGAGGCGCGAAAGCGUGGGGAGCAAACAGGAUUAGAUACCCUGGUAGUC
rnacentral:rRNA from 1 species